rnacentral:rRNA from 1 species
UACAGAGGUCUCAAGCGUUGUUCGGAAUCACUGGGCGUAAAGGGUGCGUAGGUGGCGUGGUAAGUCAGAUGUGAAAGCCCGGGGCUCAACCUCGGAAUUGCAUCCGAUACUGCCGUGCUAGAGUACUGAAGAGGUGACUAGAAUUCUCGGUGUAGCAGUGAAAUGCGUAGAUAUCAAGUGGAACACCAGUGGCGAAGGCGAGUCCCUGGACAACUCCUGACACUGAGGCACGAAAGCUAGGGGAGCAAACAGG